rnacentral:lncRNA from 1 species
ACAGAAGGAGGCUAGAUAUCCAGUGAGUACCGAUAAUGAGAUUACCACCAAACAAAGGACUUCCAGAUAUGAUCAGGUGCCAUUAUAUCUCUUGUGGUUUUACUGCUGCAGUUUCGGCCGUAGACCAAAUGCUGUUUUGCUGUCUGAAGAGAUCUCAGCAAAGGGGCAGUAGUUAAAGAGGAACGAUUACAUUGUAAAAAGCCAUAAAACCUUCCAGGAUUCAGAGUCUCAGGGGAAAGCAGAAAGGAACCCAAGACGAAGUCACACAUUGUGGAUCCAUAGAGCCCGACAUCACUAGACUGUGUUGCCAAGAUGGCAUGGCUCAGGCAUCACUACUGGAAGUGCUGGCACUUACCUCUGGGAAAUCAGUGGGACUCACUGUGGAGCAAAGCAUUGUCAGCAAGUGCUGCUUCACAGAUCUGCCUGUUUGAGUUAUAGAAGGAUGCCAGGACCACGCUGUCCUUCAUUACGUGAUGGAGACUCGGUUGCUCUUACAGAAACUCUGAAUCCUGCUGGCUGCUGUAAAGAAAUGAGAAGGAAGUUUCAGUCUUCCAGUUGGAGAGGAGUGACACAGAUGUUUAAGACGCAAGCAGCUUAGAUGUAACACAUUGUAAUAAAGUGUUGCCGUGCUAGGCAAAUGUAUGAGAAUGAUGAAUUCAGUAGUACGCGAGAAGAGGUCAGAUGCUGCAUUGAGUAUCUUCCGUGAGCGAGGAAAUGCUGAACUUCAGCUCAGUAUAUCACUGCUGAAGCUGUGCCCGGCCAUGGGAGAUGACAAGCAGUUGCUACCAGCCAAGCUUUAAAUUAGGAGAGAAGAACCUUUUUCAUUACAUUCCAAAGAAUUGUGAAAGAUGUGGAAAUCACUGCUUGGAAAACUGUACUUCUACAGGGAGCUGAGUGAAGUCCUACUGAUUCUCACUGCAAUGAAGUACUCAGGACACUUUUUUUGAGCCCACCACUACAGUCAUCACAAAGACAACACUUAGUCCAAGAAGAUUCUAGGCCUUCUUCAGAAGGUGCUGCUAAUUCCCCUAUUUUCUUCCAGAAAUGGGAAAAAUGAUCUAUAUUAGGAAAUGCGUUCUUCCUUUCUUCAUAUUUUGAAUUACGGCGCUAGGAAAAUAUUUCUCAAGUGGUUAACUUGAGUUUGACUUCCAACAUCUCUUUAUUUGGGAAGAAAUGAAUUCAAUGGUUCUUUUUAGCACUUGUGAAAAUGAAGGAUAGUUGUGCCUGCACUACAAGAAAGGUGAUUUAGUCGCUCUACUUGAUCAGUACUUUUUGAGGGAGACUUGCCAAAUUCAUCGGUGCUGAUCUGGAAGCCAAAAUAGAUAUCCAUGUGUUUUGAAGAGCGGAAAUGCUGGAACGCAGCUGGAAAGCGGCUCAGGGCUCCUGCCAGUCAUACCGGCUCACCACUAAGAGUUUAUCUACACUGUACGAGAAAGCUUCUUCAGACCCAGGCGGUUUCUGCUUUAUUUCAUGAUCAAGUGCUGCCUGCAAACUCUGGAAGUGAAGCCAUG